rnacentral:rRNA from 1 species
GACGAACGCUGGCGGCGUGCCUAAUACAUGCAAGUAGAACGCUGAAGCUUGGUGCUUGCACCGAGCGGCUGAGUUGCGAACGGGUGAGUAACGCGUAGGUAACCUGCCUGGUAGCGGGGGAUAACUAUUGGAAACGAUAGCUAAUACCGCAUAAGAGUAGAUGUUGCAUGACAUUUGCUUAAAAGGUGCAAUUGCAUCACUACCAGAUGGACCUGCGUUGCAUUAGCUAGUUGGUGAGGUAACGGCUCACCAAGGCAACGAUACAUAGCCGACCUGAGAGGGUGAUCGGCCACACUGGGACUGAGACACGGCCCAGACUCCUACGGGAGGCAGCAGUAGGGAAUCUUCGGCAAUGGACGGAAGUCUGACCGAGCAACGCCGCGUGAGUGAAGAAGGUUUUCGGAUCGUAAAGCUCUGUUGUAAGAGAAGAACGAGUGUGAGAGUGGAAAGUUCACACUGUGACGGUAUCUUACCAGAAAGGGACGGCUAACUACGUG